rnacentral:lncRNA from 1 species
CGCAGAGUCGCCGGGCCAUUGGCUCAGACCAUCCCCGUCCAACCAAAAGGCAGCCGACCCUUUACUUUGCCUCAGAUCCAAAACCUGCUCCGCCUGACCUUUAAGGCCCCGUUCUACUGUUUUGCCGGUUGGCCGCUUUUUGGGGCCGUUUGCCAGGUUAUUACCCAGUAAACACUGGAAUCUCGAGUAUCGUGUGCACGAUACUCAGGAUUCCUGAGUUUCUGGGAUAAAUCUGGGCCUAGUACGCACUGAAAAACGGGCGCAAACAAAUUUUUGCGCAAAGGCAUUUGCGAAACGAAAUUCGCGUUUUCCGGCGGACCAAUCGGGUAAACAGUAGAACGGGGCCUUAAAGGGCGACACGACACCGAAAGCAAGGCAACAGAGCGACGAGCAGGCCCGUGCCGUAGACCCACGAGACUAGAAACCUCAAUCAUCCGUCGAGGUAUUGCCCACAAUGCUUGCUUGUGGUUAGUUGACUAAUGGUCGGCUAAAGGCCUUAGCCGACCGAUUACCGCGGUUUGGUCGGAAUGUAUGAAAGUCAUGUCGACUCAAUAAAACGGAACAAAAGGAAG